rnacentral:tRNA from 1 species
GGUGGCUCAGUGGUAAAGCACUUGCCUUGCGUGCAUGAGGCCCUGGGUUCGAUUCCUUAGCACCA